rnacentral:rRNA from 1 species
GACGAACGCUGGCGGCGUGCUUAACACAUGCAAGUCGAACGGAAAGGCCCUGCUUUUGUGGGGUGCUCAAGUGGCGAACGGGUGAGUAACACGUGAGUAACCUGCCCUUGACUUUGGGAUAACUUCAGGAAACUGGGGCUAAUACCGGAUAGGAGCUCCUGCUGCAUGGUGGGGGUUGGAAAGUUUCGGCGGUUGGGGCUGGACUCGCGGCUUAUCAGCUGGUUGGUGUGGUAGUGGCUUACCAAGGUUUUGACGGGUAGCCGGCCUGAGAGGGUGACCGGCCACAUUGGGACUGAGAUACGGCCCAGACUCCUACGGGAGGCAGCAGUGGGGAAUAUUGCACAAUGGGCGGAAGCCUGAUGCAGCAACGCCGCGUGCGGGAUGACGGCCUUCGGGUUGUAAACCGCUUUCGCCUGUGACGAAGCGUGAGUGACGGUAAUGGGUAAAGAAGCACCGGCUAACUACGUG